rnacentral:rRNA from 1 species
GUGCCAGCAGCCGCGGUAAUACGUAGGUCCCGAGCGUUGUCCGGAUUUAUUGGGCGUAAAGCGAGCGCAGGCGGUUAGAUAAGUCUGAAGUUAAAGGCUGUGGCUUAACCAUAGUACGCUUUGGAAACUGUUUAACUUGAGUGCAAGAGGGGAGAGUGGAAUUCCAUGUGUAGCGGUGAAAUGCGUAGAUAUAUGGAGGAACACCGGUGGCGAAAGCGGCUCUCUGGCUUGUAACUGACGCUGAGGCUCGAAAGCGUGGGGAGCAAACA